rnacentral:rRNA from 1 species
AAGACCUUGCGCUUUUGGAGCGGCCGAUGCCUGAUUAGCUUGUUGGUGAGGUAAAAGCUCACCAAGGCUUCGAUCAGUAGCUGGUCUGAGAGGACGACCAGCCACACUGGGACUGAGACACGGCCCAGACUCCUACGGGAGGCAGCAGUGGGGAAUUUUGGACAAUGGGGGCAACCCUGAUCCAGCCAUGCCGCGUGAGUGAAGAAGGCCUUCGGGUUGUAAAGCUCUUUCAGCCGGAACGAAACGGUCACGGCUAAUACCUGUGACUACUGACGGUACCGGAAGAAGAAGCACCGGCUAACUACGUGCCAGCAGCCGCGGUAAUACGUAGGGUGCGAGCGUUAAUCGGAAUUACUGGGCGUAAAGCGUGCGCAGGUGGUUUUGUAAGCCAGAUGUGAAAUCCCCGGGCUUAACCUGGGAACU